GAUGAACGCUGGCGGCGUGCCUAAUACAUGCAAGUCGAGCGAACAGACGAGGAGCUUGCUCUUCUGACGUUAGCGGCGGACGGGUGAGUAACACGUGGAUAACCUACCUAUAAGACUGGGAUAACUUCGGGAAACCGGAGCUAAUACCGGAUAAUAUAUUGAACCGCAUGGUUCAAUAGUGAAAGACGGUCUUGCUGUCACUUAUAGAUGGAUCCGCGCCGCAUUAGCUAGUUGGUAAGGUAACGGCUUACCAAGGCAACGAUGCGUAGCCGACCUGAGAGGGUGAUCGGCCACACUGGAACUGAGACACGGUCCAGACUCCUACGGGAGGCAGCAGUAGGGAAUCUUCCGCAAUGGGCGAAAGCCUGACGGAGCAACGCCGCGUGAGUGAUGAAGGUCUUCGGAUCGUAAAACUCUGUUAUUAGGGAAGAACAUAUGUGUAAGUAACUGUGCACAUCUUGACAGUACCUAAUCAGAAAGCCACGGCUAACUACGUG
rnacentral:rRNA from 1 species